rnacentral:rRNA from 1 species
GACGAACCGUGCGAACGUUGUUCGGAUUCACUGGGCUUAAAGGGCGCGUAGGCGGCUUGCCAAGUCAGGGGUGAAAUCCUUCGGCUCAACCGGAGAAGUGCUUCUGAUACUGGCGAGCUGGAGGGAGGUAGGGGCAGACGGAACUUCCGGUGGAGCGGUGAAAUUCGUAGAUAUUGGGAAGAACACCGGUGGCGAAGGCGGCUCACUGGCUCGUAACUGACGCUCAUGCACGACAGCGUGGGGAUCAAACAGG